rnacentral:rRNA from 1 species
GAGGAAAAGAAAAUAACAAUGAUUUCCCUAGUAACGGCGAGUGAAGAGGAAAGAGCUCAAAGUUGGAAACUGUUUGGCUUAGCUAAACCGUAUUGUAAACUGUAGAAACAUUUUCCUGGCACACCAGAUUAAUAAGUCCUUUGGAACAAGGCAUCAUGGAGGGUGAGAAUCCCGUCUUUGAUCUGAGUAGUUGUCUUUUGUGAUAUGUUUUCAAAGAGUCAGGUUGUUUGGGAAUGCAGCCUAAAUUGGGUGGUAAAUCUCACCUAAAGCUAAAUAUUUGCGAGAGACCGAUAGCGAACAAGUACCGUGAGGGAAAGAUGAAAAGAACUUUGAAAAGAGAGUUAAACAGUAUGUGAAAUUGUUAAAAGGGAACCGUUUGGAGCCAGACUGGUUUGACUGUAAUCAACCUAGAAUUCGUUUUGGGUGCACUUGCAGUCUAUACCUGCCAACAACAGUUUGAUUUGGAGGACAAAAUUAAUAGGAAUGUAGCCUCUCGAGGUGUUAUAGACUAUUAUCAUACUCUGGAUUGGACUGAGGAACGCAGCGAAUGCCUUUAGGCAAGAUUGCUGGGUGCUUUCGCUAAUAAAUGUUAGAAUUUCUGCUUCGGGUGGUGCUAAUGUUUAAAGGAGGAACACAUCUAGUAUAUUUUUUAUUCGCUUAGGUUGUUGGCUUAAUGACUCUAAAUGACCCG